GACGAACGCUGGCGGCGUGCCUAAUACAUGCAAGUAGGACGCAGUUGCGAACGGGUGAGUAACGCGUAGGUAACUACCUAUUAGAGGGGGAUAACUAUUGGAAACGAUAGCUAAUACCGCAUACUAGUAGAUGGACCUGCGUUGUAUUAGCUAGUAGGUAGGGUAAUGGCCUACCUAGGCAACGAUACAUAGCAGACCGGAGAGGGGGAUCGGCCACACUGGGAUUGGGACACGGGCCAGACGCCUACGGGAUGCAGCAGUAGGGAAUCGUCGGCAAUGGGGGGAACCCGGAGCGAGCAACUGCGCGGGAGUGAAGGAGGUUUUCGGGUCGUAAAGCUCUGUUGUUAAGGAAGCGGUACUUAACCAGAAAGGGACGGCUAACUACGUGCCAGCAGCCGCGGUAAUUC
rnacentral:rRNA from 1 species